GGAGGGGUGGCCGAGUGGUUUAAGGCGCACGCCUGGAACGCGUGUAUACGGGAAACCGUAUCGAGGGUUCGAAUCCCUCUCCCUCCGCCA
rnacentral:tRNA from 1 species